CGAUUAGAGGGCGUUGAGGACGGGCGUUUGACUACUUACGUCUCCACCGAAGAACAUG
rnacentral:sRNA from 1 species